rnacentral:rRNA from 1 species
GUUUGAUCCUGGCUCAGGAUGAACGCUAGCGGCAGGCUUAAUACAUGCAAGUCGAACGGGAUUCGGGGUAGCAAUACUUUGAUGAGAGUGGCGCACGGGUGCGUAACGCGUAUGCAACCUACCUUUAACAGGGGAAUAGCCCCGAGAAAUCGGGAUUAAUACUCCGUAACAUUGCGGUGUGGCAUCACACUGCACUUAAAGCUGAGGCGGUUAAAGAUGGGCAUGCGUGACAUUAGCUAGUUGGUGAGGUAACGGCUCACCAAGGCAACGAUGUCUAGGGGUCCUGAGAGGGUUAUCCCCCACACUGGUACUGAGACACGGACCAGACUCCUACGGGAGGCAGCAGUAAGGAAUAUUGGUCAAUGGGCGCAAGCCUGAACCAGCCAUGCCGCGUGCAGGAAGACGGCCCUAUGGGUUGUAAACUGCUUUUGUCAGGGAAUAAACCCCCGCUCGUGAGCGGGGCUGAAGGUACCUGAAGAAUAAGCAUCGGCUAACUCCGUGCCAGCAGCCGCGGUAAUACGGAGGAUGCAAGCGUUAUCCGGAUUCAUUGGGUUUAAAGGGUGCGCAGGCGGAUUGGUAAGUCAGGGGUGAAAUCCCACAGCUCAACUGUGGAACUGCCUUUGAUACUGUCAGUCUAGAGUAUAGUUGAAGUUGGCGGAAUGUGUCAUGUAGCGGUGAAAUGCUUAGAUAUGACACAGAACACCGAUCGCGAAGGCAGCUAGCUAAGCUAUAACUGACGCUCAUGCACGAAAGCGUGGGGAUCAAACAGGAUUAGAUACCCUGGUAGUCCACGCUGUAAACGAUGAUUACUCGAUGUUGGCGAUACACAGUCAGCGUCUGAGCGAAAGCAAUAAGUAAUCCACCUGGGGAGUACGAUCGCAAGAUUGAAACUCAAGGAAUUGACGGGGGCCCGCACAAGCGGAGGA